AUGGCCACCUCAAAAAGAAAGCAUGCUGCACCUUUCAUUUUCUGGUGCAAAGCAGAAGAAAUGCGGAAGGAAGAGAAGGAGAAAGAAUCAAGUAAGUCCUGCUCCUUACUGAAACUGCCAGGUGCCCUGCUGGAAUCCUCCUUGGGAGAGAGCCUUCAAAAAAAGACAUGUUAUUGCAAGGCCACUCCCUGUUUUCCACAUUCUUGACAGAGCAGCCCCAAGUUCGCUGAGGAGGUGGCAGUGGAAGAGGAGCUGGAAAACAGCCUCGGGUGCUUGGGUUCCGAAGCCCAGACAGAGUCUAAUCCAGAAGGAACCACUGGCCUCUGGAAUCGCAACUUAACCCCUUCAUAGCUUAAAGACAGACAAGAUCAGAAAGGCAGGCCUCUGGAAAGAAAUGAAGAUCACCUGAAAGUGUAAAUAAGUGAAUAAACAUGAAAGACAAUUUUUAUCA
rnacentral:lncRNA from 1 species